AUGUCGAGCUCUCUUCGACGGCCAGCGGCUGCCAGACCCAUCUCCAAACCAUCCGCCAAGGGCCUCAACAGCCAUAACCGAUGGUCCUCUCUAGCCAAUCUGGCUGAGGAAGAAGAUGAAUCGGACCGGCUCAGCAAUUUGCCUGAGGGCGUGUUGCUCGAUAUUUUAGGGCGACUUGACAUCGCAGAUGCUGCUAGAACUAGAAUCCUCGCCAGACGGUGGAAGGAGAUUCCUACCAUGCUCUCCAAUUAUUUUAUAACAGUUGGUUCGUAUGACGAUGAGCACAAUAGAGGGUUGACCUGUGAUGAUGUAGCUCGGGCCAAUGCCACCGUCCUUGGAGCAACCAGGAGCUUGCUGGAAAGCAGGACUAGUACAAGCCUAUGCACCUCCAUUAAGCUCCUGCGCGUGCAAUUCUUCUUGGGAGAUGGAGAUGUUACUAGUAUCGGCCAGUCUCUUGCCAACACCAUGGCAAUGAACAAGGUUGGGUCAGCGGAAUUAACUCUCUUUACAAUGAAGGAAAGCACACGAUGCAGAAAGGACAAUGUUGUCACUUAUGGGAUGCAGUUUAAGUCAUUUUUUGACGCCUGUCCAAAGGCAUUCAGUGGUCUGGCAAGACUCAAGCUAGAAAAUUUGAGGCUAGCUGAAUCAUCGGGCUUCCCUGAAAUUCUCAGUGUAUGCAAGCAACUGGAGUUCCUCCGCCUGUAUAACUGCGACAUGGGGUACCUUUCUUUGCUAGAAGUGUCACACCCACUACUCUGUGAACUCGAGAUUGUCAAGUGUGAUUUUGAGAGGGUUGAUCUCGUGUGGCUACCAAAGCUCACAGUGCUGACUUAUUCUUGGUGGGUCUGUGAGCAUGAUCCUUUGUCUUUUGAUUAUGUCCCACUGCUCCAGACUCUGAGCCUCACCAGUAUGGCUCUUGCACGGCACAAGGUGCUCAAGUUAAGUGACUUCCUUGGCAAAGCCACCGUAAGCGACCUGCAUCUAAAUUUUCUGUGUGAAAAGAUCUGGGUUAAACCAGAAGAACCAGAUCAAUUGUUGCAGGUGUUCCACAAAUUAAGGCAUGUGACUUUGACCCACAUCUCUGAAGAAUGCGAUCUGAAUUGGACAAUGUUCAUUCUCCAAGGUGCACCGUACCUUGAGGAGCUAUGCAUCAAGGUGUGGGAUCAUCCAUGUGAUAUUAUAGAGGAUGAGAGGCUUAGGAAGAUGUAUGGGUUUAGCGAGGACAAGAAGGACGCAUGUGCAGUGUGGGAAGCGCCUGCAGAUUUCAAGCACCACAAUUUGUCUGUGCUCAGGGUCUUUGGGUUUCAGUGCGAGGAGAGGUUUGUGAAUUUCGUCAAAAGUGUCAUGGAAGCAUCGGUCGCUCUGCAGGACAUAUACUUGUGUGAGACGCCGGUGUGUGCGGACUGUGAGCACAUGAGGCAGAAUGACAGAUACCCGCGGACAAGCAAGCUUAGGACCAUGCUUAGGAACAUAUUUGACAGGGGGAUGUGCUCGCCUCUGAGGAUUCAUUUCCCACUUUCAAGAACAAACUGA
rnacentral:rRNA from 1 species